UGCUCUGUACCAUAGACCUUUCACAAUGCCAUUGGCAAUAGGAUUAGAACUUUACUAAAUUAUAAUCAAAAUGUUUUACCAUCAUGUAAUAAAGUAGCCUGAAAUUCUUGAAAAGAAUUGCAGCUUAUCAAAUUCCUGAGUUUUCAAGUAAACUUGCUAUUAGGUAAAAUACAUUAUUUAAGUUAUAUUCACUCUAUAUUAAUUCAUGGUAAAUUAGUACAUUUGAAAACACUCUUCUAUCCCACUUUUAGGAAAACGUCUCAUACUGAAUAUUGUUCACCAGAAAAAAACAAAGGAUGCUAAAAAUGAGUAAAAUAAGAAAACUUAAGAACUUCAUCACAUAUUAGUAACAAAUCACAGCAGCGUAACUUUUCAUUGUAAUUAUGAUCAUUUUUCAAUAGUAUUGUCCUUAUUGAUAAAUGAUGCACGGUGUAUCGGAUUUACUACGCUAGCUUUAUGAAUGAAGUGUAGUAAAUAUAUUCCCACGUACUUUUAAAAGACAACCAAUGAAAAUGCAUUGAUUUCCACUUCCGCAUCUAGAACAUUCGAACAUUCGUUCACGUAAAUAAACAAAUACGUUUGUAUUGUUGAAUUAUACAACGGAAAUAAGUGGAAUUAAACAUCUAAAAUGUGUAUUCAAGAAUUGCCAAGAGAUACUAAUUAUCUAACUGGGUGUUUGAAAGAAAGAUAUCCCAACGGCCCUGACAUACAAACAUGGAAUUUGUUAUACUGCGGAAAAUAUUAUAGACUCAUUCAACAGUAUGUCUGGCAUCCAGAUGAAUUACAACGUCAAUAUGCAAAACAUCACGAAGAAAACGAUUGCUUAAAACAAAAUAUAUCUGAAAAAAACUGCUAAACAACAACUGGAAAAACUUCAAGAAGAGAAUGUUUUCACUCGUUACUUGUAAUCACUCAAGCGUAGGAUUGUUUCACAAUUGCAUACACGGCUGAAUAUCAUACUUGUAAUCACUCAAGCGUAGGAUUGUUUUACAAUUGCAUACAUGAUUGAAUAUCAUAGUUGUCACUUGUUUCCUGUAAUCACGCAAGCGUAGGAUUGUUUUACAACUGCUUACAUGAUUGAAUAUCAUACUUGUAAUCACUCGAGCGUAGGAUUGUUUCACAAUUGUAUACACGGUUGAAUAUCAUAGAUUUUUACUUGUUACUUGUAAUCACUCAAGCGUAGGAUUAUUUCACAAUUGCAUACACGGCUGAAUAUCAUAGAUUUGUACUGGUUACUUGUAAUCACUCAAGCGUAGGAUUGUUUCACAAUUUUCUGCAGGAUAUUAAUCUGAUGUUAGAAAUAUCAGUUAAUGAGACAUGAAAUACGAAGUGAUUGUUUGUUCAUUUUGUUUUAUAUUGUUAUCUUUUAGUAUUUUAUACAAUAAAUCAUAAAUGUUUAUACCAUCUUGUAACAUUUUAAUGAAAAAUAAACAAUAAUAACCACACAA